ensembl:lncRNA
AAAGUGAUGUACAGGAAUAAAAACUCAGUAUAUAAUACUGAUUUUCAUUGUUUUCUAGGUAAAAAAAGAAGAAAAAGGUAAGUUUUAUAUUCAUUCAAUUUAGUAGUAGGCCUAUAUGUUUGUUAGUAGUCUAUAUUGUAGUCCAGGAGCUGUAUGUGUAAAUGUUUAACUUCUUAUUUGAUAUAUUCAUGUAUGAAAAAUCUAUAAAACCUGAUGUGCCCAGUCAAGGAAUUGGUAUGGUGAGUGUCACAAUAAUAUUAACUAUAAAUACUUAUAUUAAACCAUAAUUAAUAUGACAUUGUUUGACGUAUACUAGACCUUAACUAUUGAUUAUGUUAUUUAGAGCUGUUCUGGACCUGCAGAGGCAUAUUCUCUGGUCACUUCUGUACCAGCCACAUCUCAGCCCAUGUCUGAAGAUGUCCUGGUCAAUAAAAAACAGAAACAGGGAAAUACAGAGAAAAAUGAGAAUGUUUAUCACCUGUACUCCACAAUCCCUGACAAACCAGUUCACUCACAUGCAGAAGAUCACAUGUACAGUUUGGUGAACAUGCACUGAUGAAUCUCAUGUCUGUGUUUAUUAUGUACAACCACUAUACUGUAAAUAAAAAAUCUUCACUUGCAGAUGAAUAAGUGUCC